AUGGUCUGGGGCCCAGAGUGGAUCCUUUGACUCAGUCACUGAAACCACACUAGGACAGUAAAGAAAAUCAGUCUGCUGCAAAAAAAUUCCUGCCUCGGACAGAGCUGAAUUUUCUGCGGUAAGGUUUCCAACACGUUCUGUCAAUUUGGGUGAAGCGUGCAGGAGGCCACAGAACUGUGUAUACCAGCUGAAAAAUUUUUGACUCAGUGAGGCUAUUAAUGAUGAAAUGAAUAAAUCAUUUUAAAAUGACA
rnacentral:lncRNA from 1 species